rnacentral:lncRNA from 1 species
GCUUCUCAAGCAACUUCCACCAACUAAGAAGCUUUUCAAGCAACUUCCACCAACUAAGAAGCUUCUCAAGCAACUUCCACCAACUAGGAAGCUUCUAGAAGGUUUCAGAGACUUGCUUCUAGAAGGUUCUAGAAACUUAUCUCUAGAAGGUUCUAAGGACUAUGUCUUUAACAUCGACACAUUUCCUGGUUGUAUUUGUUGGCUUCUUGAACUUGAAAUCAUCAUGGUCCCCACUGUUAAUAAUUGGUCAUAAUGACAUUCUUCUCAUACCUUUGCUCAUGCCAAUGAUGCUUCUACCGUAGCUCGUCAAGCCUCUUUUAUAAAUAUUUUCAUUUCUGGUAGA